GAUUUAGUUAUUAAAAGUAGUUAAUUAUAGAAUUACGAUUAAAAUCUGGAGAAUCAAGAAAAAGUAUAUAAGAGUUGUAGAAGUUAAUUAAGGUGCCAUCGUUGUGAUAGUUGUGAGUCGGGGUAAGCUUGGUGCUACUUCUUUUCUUUUGUUUAUUAUUUUCUUUGAAUAAGAGGAUUGAGAGUUUCUGAAUAUUGUGAAGUGAAUUAUGGAAUAGAAAUGUGAUUGGUAUUAUUUGAGAAGAAGAAAGAUUGAAUGCUGAAAUUUGAUUGUAG
rnacentral:lncRNA from 1 species